rnacentral:rRNA from 1 species
GACAUAGGUGGCGAACGUUAUCCGGAAUUAUUGGGCGUAAAGAGUGCGUAGGUGGUUUAAUAAGUUAGUAGUGGUAAAUUGGGGCUCAACCCCAUGGAAGUUAUUAAUACUAUUAAACUAGAGGAUCGGAGGGGUUAACGGAAUUCUAUGUGUAGCGGUAAAAUGCUCAAAUAUAUAGAGGAACACCAAUUGGCGAAGGCAGUUAACUAUUCGGUUC